UUAUGCUGAACUUAUAGCUACUUGGAUGGGUUUAAUGACUGCUGUAAUUUAGUUGCAAACUUUGCAUAUUUGGUUAGAAGACGAUGCUUUAUCUGUUAUUUCCUCUAUCAACAUUGGUCUUAUGAUAGGUGUUCAGGGCUGCCCAUCCUACAAGACAUUUUCAAGUGGAAGGCUAACUGCAUAAGCUUUUUAGCUUCAUAUACUUAUCGGCAUAAC
rnacentral:lncRNA from 1 species